CUUUGUCCUAUUUGGUUGAUGUUUUUGUGAACUGUGUCAGGUUAGGAAUAAAGCAGCACUAAGCAAAA
rnacentral:SRP_RNA from 1 species